GGAUAAAGAUUUGGAGGGAGGGAUGAUCUAUUGGUUUAGUACCAGAAUUUGAAGUUUGUUUUUUUAUCAUUGGUUUUGAGCGUUUCGAUUUACUUUGGGAGUUAGUAAUAGUAGAAGGAGAUAGGGUUUUCAUUUAGACAGGUAACACUUGAUGUAACAAGGUUAUUUCUUCUUUGAAUUCAGUUUAACAUUCAAUUCAAAAAAAAAUUAAAAUAGAUAUUUCGAACAACAAAUACUAUUAUCAGAAUUUUUUAAUUUACCAAUAAACAAUGAUAUCAUUAAAAAAAUUUAUUGUCAUAUUUUUUUGUUGUUUUUGAUUAAAAUAAGAAUGAUAUAAUGGUACAUGAUUUAUUUUUAAAAUCAUUUAGAAAUAAAGCAUACCUUGAAAAGAAAAAUAAAGCACCUCAAAAUGUAAUUAAAUACAAAAUUAUAUAUACAAUAAUAUAAAUAGAAGUCAUUAUAUAGCUACAUGUAUUUAUAUAUUAUAAAAAAAAUCAACACAAUUUAAAAAUAUAUAAAUACAACCGCCACUCUAAAUACAAAAAAAAAAAAUACCUAUUUUGACAAGAAGAAAUAAAUACUCACACCAAUUUUUUUUAAAUAACUUCCAAAAAGAACUUUUUUAAACCAAACGAUUUUGUUGCAUUUCCAACACAAUUAUAUGAUACCUCAUAACGAAACCAACAAUGGGUCUUUACAAAAAUGUGGAAUUUAUGCCUGGAUUUAAGAUGGGAGUAUCUCAUUGGUUGAGCCAUAUAUGGCAAAGUUAAUUUAGAGUUUUUUUUUUUCAAAGAAAAUGGCAUAAGAAUGUAAAUAACUCAAAAAAUAUGAGGGCAAAAUCCUAGUAGAGAUUCCGCUUUAAUAGUAUAGAUAUAUUUUUCAAUAUGAUUACCACACAAUAGUUUGAAAAUUUCUAUAACCAACUUAAUAAGGAAAAAAAGAGUUGAACACAAAUAUGAUAACCAGACACUAAUUAAAAAAAAAACCAGUCAAACAAAUCUAAUCAAUUUUUAAGGAUUACCAUGCAAGACAUGCAUUACUAAUUAGAUUGUUCUAUCUAUAAAUUAAUCAUGAUCUUAAAUAGAAAUUACAACCAUCAAACUAGUAAAUCAAAAAAUAAAAAUUCUAAUAAACGUCUGUUUCUUUAUCGUAAUAAUAUCACGAAGAACAAUAUGUCUUCAUCACAUCUUGCUAUUUUUUGCGUCAUUCUGAUUGCAUUAUUUCCACUUCAUGAAUGUAUGUGUUUAUACUAGUUUCCCUUUUCUCAUCAUAUAUCAAUAUUAUCCUUGCAAUCACAUCAUGAUAUCCAAGUGAUAUUGUUGUUGCUUUUUUGUUUAUAUAGUUGUCGAUGGCCAAGGUGCUAAUGCGGGAUUUUGCGUACCAGUCAAUUGCGACACUAAUGACAAAAAUCGCAGUUGUGCUACCUGUCACAUUGCCUCGCCACGCAAGACACUUAGUUUCAAGAGCUUAGCAGAAUGUAAGGCUGGGUGCAAGGCAUAAGUUAACUCGAGGCGUGCAAAUAGCACUGAAUAAACGUUUUACUUAACACGUAAUUUAUCUGCUUCCGAUUUUAACUACAAUACAUAAUCUUAUUUUGAGUCCAAUAAAUCAAAUUUAUGCCUAUUGUAUAUGUGUUUAGAGAUUUCCAUAUUCUACGUAAUACAAAAUAGUUUAACCUAUUUCUCUCCUUUUGUUUUGUUUGACUAUUAAUAUUUUUUUAAGAAAAUAUAUCUUCUGUAUAAUUACUAAGAAUAAGUUUUUUAAACUGAAUAGUUUGUAAUAAUGGUAAAUGGUAAGUUUUUUUUUCUAUUUCCUUAUACGCCAUAGAUCAAAGAAAAAACAUAGAUCAAAGAGUAAAUGUAGAGAUUUUCUUAUUAGUCUUCACAAUCACUUAAAACAAUAAUAAAAACUUAUAUUACUCUUUUAUCUUAGACUUUUUGUUAUCUUGUUUAAUAGGAAGACAAUGAAAAUAUAACAAAAAGAGAAAGACUCAUUAGCAUAAACGCUCUAAGUAUUGCUACAAAUUUACGUAAAGGACUUUAUAUAACCAAAUAUAAACAGAGUAGGUACAUCAGAUUUCAAAGACAAGAACUAACAAAAGCAACGAGAUGGUUCUGCAAAGUGACAAUGCUAACACAGGAACCAAACUUGGUCUCGCCGGUCUUGGCUACUCUUUGAUGGAUAUGUAACAUCCCGAUUUUUGGGGAUGCAAUCAUUAAAAGAAAUAAACCUGGUAAGUUGUCUGAAGCUAAUAUGGAGGAUUCUCUCUUCUAAUUUGGUAUGGGUUAAUUGGAUAAAUAUAUACCUAAUUAGAAAAGGUUCAUUAUGGACGGGUAAGGAGAACAUUCAAUUAGGUUCUUGGAUGUGGAAAAAAAAUUCUCAAAUGUAGAGAUAUUGGUAAGAGCUUGUACCGAGUAGAUAUAAGAAAUGGUAGGAAAACAUCUUUCUUGCAUGAAGCUUGGUCGCCACUGGGUUGUCUUCAGGAUAUGAUGAGGGAAGGAAACUAUAUUGAUAUGGGAAUUCCUAUAAAUGCAACCGUUGAUGUGAGUAGGAAGCAUAGAAGACCGCAUCAUCGGGUUCAUAUCUUGAAUAAUGUAGAAGAUGAGAUUGCGAGGUAUAAGGCAAACUUUGUUAAUGAAGAAGAUGUUUCCUUAUGGAAGAAUGGGACAUGACAAUACAAAAUGAACUUCUCAACGAGUGAAACAUGGAAGGUGAUUAGAAAAGAGUAUAUUGCUUGAAAUUGGUACAAAGAGAUUUGGUUCAAGUAUGUCACAUCGAAGCACUCUUUCAUUACUUGGGUUGCAAUGAAGGGGAGGCCUGCAACAGGAGAUCGCAUGAGGCAUUGGAGUGGGUUGGUGGACAGAUCUUGUGUCUUAUGCAAUGAUCCUUUGGAAACAAUGGAGCAUUUAUUUUUUGAGUGUGAGUAUUCUGCUCAAAUUUGGAAACAGAUGAUGGAAGGGGUGUUGCUACACAAGUAUACAAAUCAAUGGGAGAGGAUAAUGAGGAUCAUGAUAAGGCCGCAGGGGAGUAAAGUGAAGUCUUUUGUUAUUAAGUACAUGUUUCAACUUUCUAUUCACACAAUCUGGAGGGAAAGAAAUCGAAGGCGGCAUGGGGAGAGCCCCUCUCCUGUGAAUAUUUUGGCAAGUUUGAUAGACAAGGGGAUGAGAAACAAGCUCACUAUCAUUCAGAGGAGAAAGGAUAAAGAUUUGGAGGGAGGCAUGAUCUAUUGGCUUAGUACCAGAAUUUGAAGUUUGUUUUUUUAUCAUUGGUUUUGAGCUUUUCGAUUUUACUUUGGGAGUUAGUUAUAGUAGAAGGAGAUAGGGUUUUCAUUUUUUUUUUUGUCAACAUCAUUACAGACUCAUAUUGACUCUGUAAACCACACCGGGAGAUAUUGAUCCAUAUGAACGACGAAAGACGUUUGUUUCCUGACACUGUGUGCUAGGUUAUCUGCCUUUGUAUUUUGCGUUCUUGGUACAUGUAUAAUCUCUGAUCGUGUGAAGCUCUCAGACUCUCUUUCAGACUCUUGAUAGGGUUUUCAUUUAGACAGGUAACACUUGAUGUAACAAGGUUAUUUCUUC
rnacentral:lncRNA from 1 species